rnacentral:antisense_RNA from 1 species
CGUUAAGCCAGCCCAGGGGACGGCAGAGCAGCCUGAGGAAGCAACAACUGUCACCACGGUCUGCCCGGGAAGCACUGAGGUGAUGCUGGGGUUGCAGUGAGCUGUUGAACUAGAUGUGUCAGAAAUGAGAAAGGAGAUGAGAGAACAAAUUAGAAUACAGAGUGAUCGACACUUUGAUGAAGGAAGUAGAUGGAGCCUGGGGUCCAUGAAACCCACUGCCAAACCAACCCAGACAGACUUAGUGUGACAUUACAAGCAUCCGGGUGGAACUCCAAGACAUAGUUAUUUCAAGAUUAUGAAGAGUGUGGUGGCCAAAAUCCAAGAUGGCCGCAUGAUCCCUCCUCCAGGUACUCAUGCCCUUGUAUGGUAUGCUCCCACAGUCUUCUGAGGAUUCGGUUGUAUGACUGAUCGAAUACAGCAGAGGCAAUGGCAUAGGACAUCUGAGGCUAUGUCAUCUAAGGGAUACACAGGAAUUCACUCCCAUCCUCCCAUGUGGCUUCUACUUUGCUCUUAAUCUCUCAGAUCUCUCACCCUGGCAGACACCAUCCACCAUGUCCUGAGGACACUCAAGCAGCUCUGUGGCCUCCUGACAAUAGCUGUUAGGUGAAACACCUUGGGUGCAGACCCUCUAGCCCCACUCCAGCCUUCAGAAGACAGCAGCCCCAACUCACAUGGGACCCCGAGCCAGACCACCAAGCAAACCACUCCCAGAUUCCUGACCCACAGAAACU